UCAUAGAGGGUGAGAAUCCCGUGUGGCGAGGAUCCCAGUUAUUUGUAAAGUGCUUUCGACGAGUCGAGUUGUUUGGGAAUGCAGCUCUAAGUGGGUGGUAAAUUCCAUCUAAAGCUAAAUAUUGGCGAGAGACCGAUAGCGAACAAGUACAGUGAUGGAAAGAUGAAAAGAACUUUGAAAAGAGAGUGAAAAAGUACGUGAAAUUGUUGAAAGGGAAGGGCAUUUGAUCAGACAUGGCGUUUGCUUCGGCUUUCGCUGGGCCAGCAUCAGUUUUAGCGGUUGGAUAAAUCCUCGGGAAUGUGGCUCUGCUUCGGUAGAGUGUUAUAGCCCGUGGGAAUACAGCCAGCUGGGACUGAGGAUUGCGACUUUGUCAAGGAUGCGCGUAA
rnacentral:rRNA from 1 species